rnacentral:rRNA from 1 species
GAAGGAACGUUGAAGACGACGACGUUGAUAGGCCGGGUGUGUAAGCGCAGCGAUGCGUUGAGCUAACCGGUACUAAUGAACCGUGAGGCUUAACCUUACAACGCCGAAGSUGUU